AGACACGGUCCAGACUCCUACGGGAGGCAGCAGUAGGGAGUAUUCGGCAAUGGGGGGAACCCUGACCGAGCAACGCCGCGUGAAUGAUGACGGCCUUCGGGUUGUAAAAUUCUGUGGCGAGGAACGAAUGGCAAGGAGAGGAAAUGCUCUUUGUUUGACAGUACCUCGCUAGAAAGCCACGGCUAACUACGUGCCAGCAGCCGCGGUAAUACGUAGGUGGCAAGCGUUAUCCGGAAUUAUUGGGCGUAAAGAGUGAGCAGGCGGUUUUUUAAGUCUGAAGUCAAAUCCUGUGGCUCAACCACAGUUCGCUUUGGAAACUGAAGAACUAGAGUGCGGGAGAGGUAAGCGGAAUUCCAUAUGUAGCGGUGAAAUGCACAGAUAUAUGGAGGAACACCGGUGGCGAAGGCGGCUUACCAGCCCGAUACUGACGCUCAGUCACGAAAGCGUGGGGAGCAAAUAGGAUUAGAUACCCUAGUAGUCCACGCCGUAAACGUUGAGGACCUGAUGCCGGAGUAUUUCGGUGUCGUAGCUAACGCGUUAAGUCCUCCGCCUGGGUACUACGUUCGCAAGAAUAAAACUUAAAGGAAUUGACGGGGGCCCGCACAAGCAGUGGAGCAUGUGGUUUAAUUCGUCGCUACGCGAAAAACCUUACCAGGGUUUGACAUCCCGCUAAAAGUCUUGGAAACAAGAUCAUAGUUAUAGCGGUGAAAGGUGGUGCAUGGUUGUCGUCAGCUCGUGUCGUGAGAUGUUCGGUUAAGUCCCUAACGAGCGCAACCCUUGUCUCUAUUUGCCAUCAUUAAGUUGGGAACUAUAGAGAGACUGCCGGUGCAAACCGGAGGAAGAUGGGGAUGACGUCAAAUCAUCAUGCCCCUUAUGCCCUGGGCCACACACGUGCUACAAUGGCCGGUACAGAGAGAAGCAAUCCCGUGAGGAGGAGCAAAUCUCACAAAGCCGGUCUCAGUUCGGAUUGGAGUCUGCAACUCGACUCCAU
rnacentral:rRNA from 1 species